rnacentral:tRNA from 1 species
GCCUUCUUAGUGCAGUAGGUAGCGUGUUAGUCUCAUAAUCUGAAGGUCAUGAGUUCAAUCCUCAUCACAGGGCA